rnacentral:rRNA from 1 species
UACAGAGGUCUCAAGCGUUGUUCGGAUUCAUUGGGCGUAAAGGGUGCGUAGGCGGCGCGGUAAGUCGGGUGUGAAAUCUCGGAGCUUAACUCCGAAACUGCAUUCGAUACUGCCGUGCUUGAGGACUGGAGAGGAGACUGGAAUUUACGGUGUAGCGGUGAAAUGCGUAGAUAUCGUAAGGAAGACCAGUGGCGAAGGCGGGUCUCGUGGACAGUUCCUGACGCUGAGGCAC